rnacentral:rRNA from 1 species
UACAGAGGUCUCAAGCGUUGUUCGGAUUUAUUGGGCGUAAAGGGCGCGUAGGCGGCGGGGUAAGUCGGGUGUGAAAUCUCAGGGCUCAACCCUGAAACUGCACUUGAUACUGCUCUGCUUGAGGACUGGAGAGGAGACUGGAAUUCACGGUGUCGCAGUGAAAUGCGUAGAUAUCGUGAGGAAGACCAGUGGCGAAGGCGGGUCUCUGGACAGUUCCUGACGCUGAGGCGCGAAGGCCAGGGGAGCAAACGGG